rnacentral:rRNA from 1 species
GGGAGGUUUAAUUCUGGCUUUGGAAUUUUUUUGUUAGGAAAGUUGUUGAUAAGGGAAGUUUUAAGAAAAGAAAUUUAGAUGAAAAAAUUGGAAAGGUAAGAUGUACGCUCCGGUUAUUUUAAAAAAUUUUAGCAAAUAUGGUGCCAGCGGCUGCGGUUAUACCAUUAGAGUGAAAAAAAUUUUGUUUUGAUUUUGAAAUUUUAAUUAAAAGUUGUAAAGUUUUCAGAAAGGUAAAAUUUUGGAAGGCUGAAGAAUCUUGAGAAGAAUUUUUUAAAAGUUCUAAAGAGAGACUAGGAUUAGAUACCCUAUUAUUUAG